UACGAAGGUCCCGAGCGUUAUUCGGAAUCACUGGGCGUAAAGGGAGCGUAGGCUGCGCGGUAAGUCAGAUGUGAAAUCUCAGAGCUCAACUCUGAAACUGCAUCCGAUACUGCCGUGCUAGAGUAAUGGAGGGGUAAGUGGAAUUCUCGGUGUAGCAGUGAAAUGCGUAGAUAUCGGGAGGAAGACCAACGGCGAAGGCAGCUUACUGGACAUUUACUGACGCUGAGGCUCGAAGGCUAGGGUAGCGAAAGGG
rnacentral:rRNA from 1 species